GUGGGAGUGAGAUCAUCAGUUGCCAGUGCCAGCCGCGGAUUACGCAUCUCACGCGGCGCCGCCACACACCACACCGCGAUGGCCGAUCUCCACCUCCUCCACCCGCCGGAGCCCGACACCAACGGCGGCGCGGCCGCCGCCUCCGCCUCCGCCGCCGCGCUGCUCCUCCCCGGCGACCCCGCGGCCGAGGCGGCGGCCGCCGCCGCCGCGGACCCCCCCGCGCCCCCCUACUCCAAGCGCCGCCGCCGCCCCAGCGUCCGCCUCGGCGACAUUGGCGCGCAGGCCACGGCCUCCGACGCGCAGCUCCCGCGCCGCCACCGCAAGCCGUCCUCCCACCCGCGCCCGCCGCGCCGCUCCCACCCGGACGACGCCCUCGACCCCAGCGCCCGCGCCCGCGGGCCCAAGCCCGGCCAGCGCCGCCCGCGCACGGCCUGGAUCCCGGCGCCCCACGGCGGCGCCGACGGCUACGAGGACGAGGAGGGCCACCACCACUACUACGACGACGCCGACCAGUCCGACUCCGCCGCCGCCGCCGCCCGGGCCGCUAGGGUUUCGGGCAGCCGCGAGGCCAGCGUCGACGAGUCCGACGGCGUCGCCGACUGGGGCCUCCCCAACGGCGGCGCGGCCUGCUACGGCGGCGGCGGCGGCGUCCGGGCCUGGCUCGACGGGCUCGGCCUCUCCCGGUACGCCCCCGUGUUCGAGAUCCACGAGGUGGACGACGAGGUGCUCCCGCUGCUCACCCUGGAGGACCUCAAGGACAUGGGCAUCGGCGCCGUCGGCUCCAGGAGGAAGAUGUUCGCCGCCAUCCAGAAGCUCCGCAGCAGCGACACCGUGUCCUGAGUUGGGUGAGACCUCCAGUUCCUAGCUAGCUAGCUUUUGUGCUCUCUCCAUUUUUGUUUCCUCUCCCAUAGAAAGCUAGUAGUGAUGAGGGCAUUAGCUUAUGGCGCUUUCACCAAUCCUAGUGUGUAUAUAGGCUUGAUGAUCGAUCACCUUAUCUCUGUCGUAAUGAUAUGCUGUGGAGCACUAGUGCUUUGGGAGGAAUUGUUUCAAGAAGGAACUUGAAAUAAUGGAUGGAAUAAGGACUGCAAGAUCACUGAUUCUCAGAAAUACAGAAAAGGAAAGAGAAGGGAGAAGAUUAUCCAGUCAACUGGCUAAAGGCAUAAAAGGAAUGCUAGGGAUAAAUGCCGGGGAGGGAGGCUGAGGGGGUUGCCACUGAUUACUGUGGCAGGGUGGCAGCAAAUGUGGCGUGUCCAUGCCGCUGGGGCUCGAUAGCGCCACAAUGGCAGGCCAGGCGCGGAGGUAACCACUGGAAUGUUUUGUUUGCAUGUAUGUUUGUAAACAUGUUGUGUUUGCAAGCAUGUAUGUCUUGUUUGUAAGGUAAGGGGCUUACCUGAUGAUGAUUUGCCGGUCCUUGGG